rnacentral:rRNA from 1 species
GGAGUCUGGGCCGUGUCUCAGUCCCAAUGUGGCCGUUCAACCUCUCAGUCCGGCUACUGAUCGUCGGCUUGGUGAGCCGUUACCUCACCAACUACCUAAUCAGACGCGAGCCCAUCUCUGAGCGAUAAAUCUUUGAUAUACAGAAGAUGUCUUCCGUAUAUGUUAUGAGGUAUUACCAUCCGUUUCCAGAAGCUAUCCCUCUCUCAGAGGCAGGUUGCUCACGUGUUACUCACCCGUCCGCCACUAAGAACUCUCAGUAAACUAAAAGUUCUCCGUUCGACUUGCAUGUGUUAAGCGUGCCGCCAGCGUUCGUCCUCGAGCCAUGAUCAAACUCU